AUUACAAAGAAGAGUUUGAUCCUGGCUCAGGAUGAACGCUAGCGGCAGGCCUAAUACAUGCAAG
rnacentral:rRNA from 1 species